AACCUAAAACUACUUGAAUUACCACAAAUCUUCCACCUAGUUUUAGAGAAACUCAAGUAAGGUACAGCCUACUUGAAUCAGGAUACAACCUAGACCUGAGGGUAACUAUUUCCACCCCCAAUCAAGUUGGCCUAAAAGCAGCCACCUUUAAAAUAGCGUCACAGCUUAAUCGCACCCUUAAUUUAAUCCCUAAAGCCUUUAUGAACCCCACCACAGUAUCAAGCAAUUCUAUACAUAUAUAGAACUUUUUAUGUUAAAACUAGUAACAAGAAUACACAACUUCUCUUUAAUGCAAGCACACAUCAGACAGGACAAACCGCUGAUAUCUAACAUACAUGAUCCUACAGUAUUAACUCCACAAGAAAACCCUACUAUACCCUAUGUUAACCUAACACUAGAGCAUUACAAGAAAGAUUAAAAGAAAGAGAAGGAACUCGGCAAAUUUUAACCCCGCCUGUUUACCAAAAACAUCGCCUCUUGCAUGCCUAUAAGAGGUCCAGCCUGCCCAGUGACUCUGUUCAACGGCCGCGGUAUCCUAACCGUGCGAAGGUAGCGUAAUCACUUGUUCUUUAAAUGAGGACUAGUAUGAAUGGCACCACGAAGGUUAUACUGUCUCCUCUCCCUAAUCAGUGAAACUAAUCUCCCCGUGAAGAAACGGGGAUAGUUAUAUAAGACGAGAAGACCCUAUGGAGCUUUAAACAAAGAACCAUCUUCUUUCUUACCUUAAAAAUUCCAGAAAACUAACUUUUAUCAAAGCACUCUGAUUUCUAGUUUUAGGUUGGGGUGACCACGGAGUAAAAACCAAUCUCCGCAAUGAACAGGUACCUUCCUUAAGCCAAGGGCCACAACCCUAAGCAUCAAUAUAUUGACAUCAAUUGACCCAAAAAAAUUUGAUCAAUGAACCAAGUUACCCUAGGGAUAACAGCGCAAUCCACUUCAAGAGCUCCUAUCGACAAGUGGGUUUACGACCUCGAUGUUGGAUCAGGGUAUCCCAGUGGUGCAGCCGCUACUAAUGGUUCG
rnacentral:rRNA from 1 species